AACGAACGCUGGCGGCAUGCCUAACACAUGCAAGUCGAACGAGACCUUCGGGUCUAGUGGCGCACGGGUGCGUAACGCGUGGGAACCUGCCCUUAGGUUCGGAAUAACUCCCCGAAAGGGGUGCUAAUACCGGAUAAUGUCUUCGGACCAAAGAUUUAUCGCCUUGGAUGGGCCCGCGUUGGAUUAGCUGGUUGGUAGGGUAAAAGCCUACCAAGGCGACGAUCCAUAGCUGGUCUGAGAGGAUGAUCAGCCACACUGGGACUGAGACACGGCCCAGACUCCUACGGGAGGCAGCAGUGGGGAAUAUUGGACAAUGGGCGAAAGCCUGAUCCAGCAAUGCCGCGUGAGUGAUGAAGGCCUUAGGGUUGUAAAGCUCUUUUACCCGGGAUGAUAAUGACAGUACCGGGAGAAUAAGCUCCGGCUAACUCCGUG
rnacentral:rRNA from 1 species